rnacentral:rRNA from 1 species
ACUCGCGAAUGCAUCAGAUGAUUAUUGAUCAUGGCUCAGAAUUGCACGCUGGNUUGACCAGCUUAACACAUGCAAGUCGAGCGGGGAAGGGUAGCUUGCUACCUAACCUAGCGGCGGACGGGUGAGUAAUGCUUAGGAAUCUGCCAUUUAGUGGGGGACAACAUUCCGAAAGGAAUGCUAAUACCGCAUACGUCCUACGGGAGAAAGCAGGGGAUCUUCGGACCUUGCGCUAAAUGAUGAGCCUAAGUCGGAUUAGCUAGUUGGUGGGGUAAAGGCCUACCAAGGCGACGAUCUGUAGCGGGUCUAGAGAGGAUGAUCCGCCACACUGGGACUGAGACACGGCCCAGACUCCUACGGGAGGCAGAUGGGGAAUUGGACUGGGGG